rnacentral:rRNA from 1 species
CGAACGUUGGCGACAUGAGUAUAAUGCAGUCGAGCGGACAGAUGGGAGCUUGCUCCCUGAUGUUAGCGGCGGACGGGUGAGUAACACGUGGGUAACCUGCCUGUAAGACUGGGAUAACUCCGGGAAACCGGGGCUAAUACCGGAUGGUUGUUUGAACCGCAUGGUUCAGACAUAAAAGGUGGCUUCGGCUACCACUUACAGAUGGACCCGCGGCGCAUUAGCUAGUUGGUGAGGUAACGGCUCACCAAGGCGACGAUGCGUAGCCGACCUGAGAGGGUGAUCGGCCACACUGGGACUGAGACACGGCCCAGACUCCUACGGGAGGCAGCAGUAGGGAAUCUUCCGCAAUGGACGAAAGUCUGACGGAGCAACGCCGCGUGAGUGAUGAAGGUUUUCGGAUCGUAAAGCUCUGUUGUUAGGGAAGAACAAGUGCCGUUCAAAUAGGGCGGCACCUUGACGGUACCUAACCAGAAAGCCACGGCUAACUACGUGCCAGCAGCCGCGGUAAUACGUAGGUGGCAAGCGUUGUCCGGAAUUAUUGGGCGUAAAGGGCUCGCAGGCGGUUUCUUAAGUCUGAUGUGAAAGCCCCCGGCUCAACCGGGGAGGGUCAUUGGAAACUGGGGAACUUGAGUGCAGAAGAGGAGAGUGGAAUUCCACGUGUAGCGGUGAAAUGCGUAGAGAUGUGGAGGAACACCAGUGGCGAAGGCGACUCUCUGGUCUGUAACUGACGCUGAGGAGCGAAAGCGUGGGGAGCGAACAGGAUUAGAUACCCUGGUAGUCCACGCCGUAAACGAUGAGUGCUAAGUGUUAGGGGGUUUCCGCCCCUUAGUGCUGCAGCUAACGCAUUAAGCACUCCGCCUGGGGAGUACGGUCGCAAGACUGAAACUCAAAGGAAUUGACGGGGGCCCGCACAAGCGGUGGAGCAUGUGGUUUAAUUCGAAGCAACGCGAAGAACCUUACCAGGUCUUGACAUCCUCUGACAAUCCUAGAGAUAGGACGUCCCCUUCGGGGGCAGAGUGACAGGUGGUGCAUGGUUGUCGUCAGCUCGUGUCGUGAGAUGUUGGGUUAAGUCCCGCAACGAGCGCAACCCUUGAUCUUAGUUGCCAGCAUUCAGUUGGGCACUCUAAGGUGACUGCCGGUGACAAACCGGAGGAAGGUGGGGAUGACGUCAAAUCAUCAUGCCCCUUAUGACCUGGGCUACACACGUGCUACAAUGGACAGAACAAAGGGCAG